GUGAAGAACAAGGCUGGCUUUGACAGUUUUACAAGCUUGCUGGAGGUGGAAGCACCACCAGAGUGGAAAGACGAACCCACGGAUCAGUAUGGUAUCCUUGGUGGCCCCGUUCAAAUCACUUGCAGCGGCACGGGAUCGCCUGCUCCAAGCAUCACAUGGAAACGUGUCCUCCAAGAAGGUAACAGCGAGAUACUAACAGACAUAACAGGCCACCAUCUUGUCUAUGCAAAUGGUACCUUGGAGAUCCACGACAUCGAGUACCGAGACAGUGGCCACUACGUAUGCAUAGCUGACAACGGUGUUCCCCCAAGCA